GUGCUAGCCCCAAAAUCUUGUUAAAAAAACAGAAUCGUUACAGUACAGAGCCUAACUGACUGGGAGAUUUUUGAUAAAUGAAUUUAUUGAGUGAAUACUCUUUGGAUGAAAGGUUGCUAUUGAGAGGUGAGAUGCCUAAACCCUUGAGGGGUGUGAUACCCAAAACCUGAGGGGUGAGAUACCCAUUCCAUUAUUCUCUUCCACAGUUCCACCCUUCUCAACCGUCCAUCUAUUCUAUUUUCUUUUCUUGAUUUUCCUUUAUCUUUCGAGUGUUGAGAAUACUACGUGAGCUGCUCAUCAAGACACCGAUGAGCAACUAAUCUGUAGACACAAGAUUACCAGCGGCAGCCAUUAGAGGACCAGAUUUGGGCAGGAUUUUGAACCGGCCUAAGUCCCUGCUGACCCUGUUCUAGGGAUCUGCUCUCACACCUGGGAGGACACUCGAACUGCACAGGUUGAUCAGCAGAUGUCUGGAUCUCUAGUUCUUGUUUUCUCUCUUAAGUUUCCUAAUUGGUGGCAUCAACCAACAACCUUCAGAUCUCCACAAUCAGCCACCCAUUCUGGACCCAAUUUUGAGGGCGAGUUGAAGUCCAUAAGGAGGUCACUCGACCCAAGUUUGGUGGCCAACUGAGCUUUGUAUUAUCUGUUUCUGCAGACCUUUAGUUUCCUAAUUGGGAACUCUUUCUCAGAUCUCCCAAACCUGAGUUCAGAUUACAGAACCCUUUGGAGGGUUUUUUCAGCAUCACAAGAGGAGCUACUGCCCAGAAGUUGAGUCCCAUCAGAGACCCCUACAGCCAGCUGCAGACUCCUACUCCGGAGGGGUAUCAGAAUUAAAUGAUUGGGUUCUAAUUGGGGUAAAAAAAUUAGGAGAUAAAAGAAGAAGCCAGGGGUAAUUUGGGAAGGUAAAACAAAAAACAAAACAUAUCAGAUAUAUAAGCAGAGGAGUUCUUCCUCACGCGAAUGGGAUUUCACGAUUAGUUCUCUUAGCUUGAUUCGAUUACGUUUGGAAGACACGAUUGAAUCAUCUUCUACCAGCGGAGCAAUUGGCGGUGAGAAUGGUGGAAGUCUCAGACUGCAACAAUAGGGUGUAAUUAGAGCCACGACUGAAUAAUGCAUAAAAGAACAUGCUACCGGCGCACAGUGGAAGGAAGUGUUGUGGAAUUGUUUGGUUUGUUGAACCAGCUCACAUCACAUGUAUCAAAUGCAUUGUCUUGAACUUUUAGGAAUUCGUUACUUUAAUGCACUUGCAACAUCAUUAACAUUUAUUCCUCAAGUACUUGGUUGUUAAUUAAUUACUUGCCAUUUAAGUUAGUUUCUUCACACCGCCCCUGCCUUGUUCAACACUUCCACACUGGUGUUGUAAAUUUAAGCAAGUGGAAUGAAGUAUCAUUUACACCUAGCAUUAGUAACAUUUAUCUAUGUUGGUGCACCAUUUCACAUUUCGAUAUGAGCAUUCUGCCCUGAUGCAGAUUAGAGUCACCUUAUGAAGUACCAGCAGUGAAGCAAGCAACAGGCAAAAUAAUGCCUGUGGUUCUGGUUUGGACCAGUCUCUGGUUCAAUUUUGGACCAGGAAUAUUCCAUAUAUUUGUGAGGCACUGGUUAGGAGUCCUAUGGAUUUCUUUCUUUCUUUAUACUUGUAAUAGCUGGAAUAGGACUUUUAAGUUCCAGCUUAGUUGGGGUCUUUUAUUUUAUCUUUAUGAAGAGUUUUAGACAAACUUAAACUCUCCCAGUUAGUUGGCGGUAGUAGUAGUUUAUGUUAUAUUUGGACUCUUAUUUGUGUUUAAGAUCAGAUUAAGUUCCAGUUACUUUGUGUAGUAUAACUGGUCUUUUGUUGUUUUUAAUGAAGGCAUAGGAGGGCUAAACAUAGCCCAAGAUUUGUACAGUUAAAUAAAGUAUUUGCUUAACAAGUUCUGUGGUGAUUCAGACCAUGCCUGCUAUGAUGAUUCAAUAGGUUGGGUUGGUGGUGAUUCUAGCUGGGCCUUGGGUGGUGACUCCCAGGUCAUAUCUUUUUCCCUCUUUCAAUCUUCUUAUUAUCUUUCUAAGUUGCUGAACUCAGGUCAUCACAAAACCUUUCAGCUCCUGCUUUUGUCAAUUCUGGUUUGUUCUUCAGACAACGAGGUAUGCCAUGAACUAUAAGGAGAACGAGAAGAUGGAACACCGAUACUGAGAUGGAUUCCCAAAUGUCUUCAAUUUGGUCACCCACCUGAUCUGGGUACCUCUUCGGCAAAGUCUUCAUGAAUUAUAAAGGAGUCUUUCUCAUUUUAUGUAGUUUCUAAAUCUGGGACUUUAAGUUCGAGUUAAAGAUGAGUUACGAACAAAGUUGUGGGUUGUUUUGGGUGAGAACUGACUUGAAAAUUUUAGGGAGGAGUAGCCCUAAACUGUUUUCAGCUUUUGCUGUUAUUAUGUGAUGGAACGUGGUACAGAAAAAUUUCAGCAGUUUAUGGUA